AAGCUGGAUGAUGAAGACCUGGUCUCCUACAUCCUCGCCGGGUUGGACGUGGAGUUCAACCCCUUGGUGUCGGCAAUGGCUGCACGCGUCGAGCCCAUUCUCCGUAGGAGAGCUGUACUCCCAACUCAUCAGCUUCGAGC
rnacentral:snoRNA from 1 species